AAAGAUUUAGUAUAUGUUUAUAGUAUUGUUUGUUGUCUGCAAAUGGGAUUAGGUCUUUU
rnacentral:tRNA from 1 species